AUGUUGAAGAACUAUGUACCGCCCGGUUGUCCCAUGCAUAUGUUUGUGAAGAAAUACAUGAGACUUCAAUUUGACAGGGAAGCUGAGGAGAACUACGAGGAGAAGCGGGCACGGAUAGGUAGACCACUGUACAUAGCAAACUUAGCUAUAGAGAGACAUGCUAGUAAGAUAUACACUCGAGCUAUGUUUGAGCAGUUUGGACAUAUUCUUUAUGAGUGCGGCGCAUACCAAGUGGAGGAGCGGAGGAGCUUGAGAAAGGAAAACUGUAUCUUCACUAGUAGAAAAGAGGGUUUUGGUCCACCCCGGGUUAGCCCAUUAGUCCUGGUUCAGUCUAGAACCGGGACUAAUGGGGGCAUUAGUCCCGGUUCGUGCGCCCAGGGGCCAUGUGGGCCAUUUGUCCCGGUUUGUCGGGACUAA
rnacentral:rRNA from 1 species